rnacentral:rRNA from 1 species
UACGGAGGGUGCGAGCGUUGUCCGGAAUCACUGGGCGUAAAGGGCGCGUAGGUGGCGCGGGAAGUCAACGGUGAAAGUUCGGGGCUCAACCCUGAAUCGGCCGUCGAUACUCCCGGGCUCGAGCACUGUAGAGGCAGAUGGAAUUCCGGGUGUAGCGGUGAAUGCGUAGAGAUCCGGAAGAACACCGGUGGCGAAGGCGGUCUGCUGGGCAGUUGCUGACACUGAGGCGCGACAGCGUGGGGAGCAAACAGG